UUUACCAUUUCUUUGAAAAGUGCAUUGUAUGGUGUUUACCAUUGACAUGAAAAGUAAUAUUGCUUUUGUUGCACUUAAUAACAGCUCAUGCAGUAUUUAGAAUGGGUCUAUCAAGGAUAAUCUACAUGUUGUCGUCCUCGGACAAAUCAAGAAUAACAACGUCCAUUAAGAUAGUAAUAAUUGCAACCAUAACUGGGACAUCCUCACAAAUUCCAAGAGUAUAGCACUGGAUUUAUCAUCCAUUCACUACUAGGAAAAGGGAUAUAGAUGAUAUAGAUACUAAUGACG
rnacentral:lncRNA from 1 species